CUAUGUUUCUCUGCCUCUCCCCCUCCCUUCCACUCUCUCUAAAAAUCAAUGGAAAAAAUACCCUUGGGCAAGAAUUAACAACUACAAAAUUUUAUAGAAUGAAUUU